rnacentral:rRNA from 1 species
UCAAGCGACUUAAGAGCAUUUGGUGGAUGCCUUGGCACUGAGAGGCGAUGAAGGACGUGGUACGCUGCGAAAAGUUACGGGGAGCUGCGAACAAGCUUUGAUCCGUAAAUAUCCGAAUGGGGCAACCCCUGGCUUCGGCCAGACCUGCACAUGAAUACAUAGUGUGCUGGAGCAAACCGGGAGAACUGAAACAUCUAAGUACCCCGAGGAAAGGACAUCAACAGAGACUCCGCUAGUAGUGGCGAGCGAACGCGGACUAGGCCAAUGCCCAACGUGUAAGAACUGGAACAGGAUGGAAAGCCUGGCAACAAUGGGUGAUAGCCCCGUACAGGUAGAAAGCACGAUGGGAUACGAGUAAGGCGGGACACGUGAAAUCCUGUCUGAACAUGGGGGGACCACCCUCCAAGCCUAAGUACUCCUCAGUGACCGAUAGCGAACUAGUACCGUGAGGGAAAGGUGAAAAGCACCCCGACGAGGGGAGUGAAAGAGCACCUGAAACCGAAUGCUUACAAACAGUAGGAGGGCGCAAGCCUGACUACGUACCUUUUGUAUUAUGGGUCAGCGACUUAUGAUUGACGUGCGAGCUUAAGCCGAUAGGUGGAGGCGAAGCGAAAGCGAGUCUGAAUAGGGCGAUUUAGUACGUUGAUAUAGACCCGAAACCAGUCGAUCUAGCCAUGAGCAGGCUGAAGGUGCAGUAACAUGCACUGGAGGGCCGAACGGGUAACCGUGGAAAAGGUUUCCGAUGACUUGUGGUUAGGGGUGAAAGGCUAAUCAAGGCUGGAGAUAGCUGGUUUUCCGCGAAAGAUAUUUAGGUAUCGCGUCGCAUGAAUACUCCGGAGGGUAGAGCACUGGAUGGGCUAGGGGGUCGUAUAGACCUACCAAACCCAACCAAACUCCGAAUAUCCGGAAGUACUGUGCGGCAGUCACACAGUGGGUGCUAACGUCCAUUGUGAAGAGGGAAACAACCCUGACCUACAGCUAAGGUCCCCAAAUAGUGGCUAAGUUAGGAAGGAUGUGAAGAUCCCAAAACAACCAGGAGGUUGGCUUAGAAGCAGCCAUCCUUUAAAGAAAGCGUAACAGCUCACUGGUCUAAAUAAGGGUUUUUGCGCCGAAAAUGUAUCGGGAAUUAAGCCACUUACCGAAGCUUAGGGUGCAGUCCGCAAGGGCUGCGCGGUAGCGGAACGUUCCGUAAGCCUGUGAAGGUUGACCCGUGAGGGCAGCUGGAGGUAUCGGAAGUGCGAAUGCUGACAUGAGUAACGAUAAACAGUGUGAGAGACACUGUCGCCGAAAGCCCAAGGGUUCCUGCUUAAAGUUAAUCUGAGCAGGGUGAGCCGGGUCCUAAGGUGAGGCCGAGAGGCGUAGCCGAUGGCAAUCAGGUUAAUAUUCCUGAGCUAGUGGUGGGUGACGAAUGCAAGAAGCUAUCCGAUGUUAUUGGAUUCGGAGGGUAGCGCAUGCGUUCCAGGAAAUAGCCCCCACAUCAACCCGUACCCGAAACCGACACAGGUGGGCAGGUAGAGUAUACCAAGGCGCUUGAGAGAACGAUGCUGAAGGAACUCGGCAAAUUACCCUCGUAACUUCGGGAUAAGAGGGCCCCGUCUUUGGGCAACCAGGGGCGGGGGGCACAUACCAGGGGGUAGCGACUGUUUAGCAAAAACACAGGGCUCUGCGAAGUCUAAAGACGACGUAUAGGGUCUGACGCCUGCCCAGUGCCGGAAGGUUAAGAGGAGAGGUUCACGCUUUGAAUCGAAGCCCCGGUAAACGGCGGCCGUAACUAUAACGGUCCUAAGGUAGCGAAAUUCCUUGUCGGGUAAGUUCCGAC